rnacentral:lncRNA from 1 species
GCAAUACAAUCGGAGUCUUAACAGACUAUCCCGUACCUUCCGCAUUUUUCCCUCAGGGCCUUUGAAUAUUAUUCCCUAAUGUCCUCUUUCUUGGACUUCUCUCUCAGUCUGCACAAGUAGCCUGAUGAUCUUAUCCAGUCUGUUUUUUUUUGCGGGGUGUGUGUGUGUGCGCGCGUGCCGAUAGCAUGCAGAAGUUCCUGGACCAGGGAUUGAAAGAACCCACGCCACAGCAGUGGCAACACUGGCUCCUUAACCUUUGAGCCACCAGGGAACCCUCAAGCCUCAUUUUUAUAUUACUUUGUUCCCUUACAAGUUUUAAUUUGUCAACUGGGCAUUUUUAAUCUAUAUGUAUGACAGUACUUGAAGCUCGGAUGCCUUAAUUGAGCUAAUUUUUACUUCUUAAGCCAUUUCUUCUUUCAGUUGCAGUGUCACUGUUCACCACCCCACCCCCAAUCUAAUCUCUCAUAUUAGAAAGUAUGCUCCUGAAGUUCCCGUAUGGAGCAGCUGGUUAGGGAUCUAGUGUUGGCAUUUCAGUGGCCUGGGUUCUUGCUGUGGUGAAGUUUGAUCCCUGGCCUGGGAAUUUUAUCAUGCUGUUCGAGCAACCAAAAAAAAAAAAAAAAAAAAAAAAAAAAAAGAGAGAGAGAGAGAGAGGAGAGAGAAAUAACUUCUUUCUCUUUGCUCACAUCCAAUGAGACAUCAAGGUUUUUAAAAUCAUUAAUAAUUGUUUCUUCUUCUUCCUAUGGCUGCCUGUUUCUGUAGCCCUUGAGCUAAGCAUGCUGCUAAGCCCUUUAUAUACAUUACCUAAUCUAAUCUUCAUACUGGUCUUUAAUAAUAGCCUUUUGGGUGCUGUUAUUAUCUCAGUUUAGAGAUGAAGUCUGAGGCUUAGCAUAUUUGAAUUUUUCUCUCACGCUUUAAAUAGCUCACUCCAGUUACAAAGAAUUGAAUCCAAGUAUUUUCACUCCAGAUCCUGCUCUCUCCAUUACUGGAUUCUGCUUCUGCUUUGCUCCACUGUGUUUCUCAGAAAAGUCUCUCAAAUCCAGCCCCUCCAGCUAUAGUUACAUAAGUUUACAUACCUGGGCUCCAAAACAGAUAGAUUUGCACUGGAAUCCUGGGGCCCUUGCCUACUGUGUGAUUUUGGACAAGUUACCCUCUCUGCCUUUGAUCCCUCAUUGGUUAAUAGGUAUGUACUAGCUACAUCACAAGUUGAUUUUAGGGUUUAAAAUAAUACAAAGGAAAACAAGAAAGAAUUAAAGUUUAGGUAACUGAUGUAAAGCUCUAUACACUUAAUACAUGUAGGUUACUUAGGUAACCUAUGGAAAGCUUAAUCUACUUGUUAUUUUUAUUAUUCUUCUCCAGUAUAAAUGUCUUCACUUUGUCUCAAAAGAUUUCCAGUGGGUCUCCUGACACAAGACCGGCUCAAUUCAUUCUGUCCAUUGUUGUCAAUGUUAUUUUUUAAAAAACUAAAUCUGGGAGUUCCCAUGUGGCUCAGUGGUUCAUUAAUGACCCGGUGUUCUCUCUGCGAGGAUGCAGGUGCAAUCCAUGGCCUCGCUCAGUAGGUUAAGGAUCUGGCAUUGCCCUAAGCUACAGCUUGGAUGGCAGAUGCAGCUCAGAUCCAGUGUUGCUGUGGCUGGGGCCCAAACACACAACCCCAACCCUCCGCCUGGGAACUUCCAUAUUCUGCAGGUGUGGCCAUAAUAAGGAAAAAGAAAAAAAGAAGAAAAAAGCUAAGUCUGAUCUGAUCGUAUAAUUUCCCUGCCUAAGCGUCUCUGAUAUUCCUUUUCUCUAUGGGAUUGCCAUGUAUGCCAUACUUAAGCUGUGACUUAAAAUGAAAUCAACGUCUAAAAAUGGAAUGACAUCUGUUACCUUUCUCAUUUAUUUCCUGCAACUCUCCCCAAAGUGGCAUAUCCUUCACUAACACCAGACUUACUGUUCCAUGGACAUGCCAGUCCCUUUGAUGUUUCGGAACCUCUUUCUGCUUGUUCCUGUUUCAGUACAUGGCUCACAUUAACUAGAAAACUCUUAUGUGUCCUUUAAAACCCCUCAAGAUAACUUCCCCUACAUCAAAAUCAGUCACCCCUCUGUUCUGUUAAGAGUGUCAUAAUUCGUAGUAAUUAUCAUGCUGAAUUGGCAAUUACUGAAUUGCAAUGACAUUCCCCAGAGAAAAAACCAUUUCUGAAUAAAAGCCAGUCAAAUUUGGUGUGCUAGUUCUUGCUGUGGUGCAAUGGGAUUGGCGGUAUCUCUGCUGUGCCAGGUCACAGGUUUGAUCUCUGGCCUGGGGCAGUGGGUUAAAGGAUCUGGCAUUGCCAUAGAUGCAGUGUAGAUCGAAGCUGCGACUCAGAUCUGAUCGCUGGCAGGGAAACUUCCAUCUGCCUCAGGGCAGCCAUAAAAAAAAAAAUUGGUGUAUUGUACAGUAUCUGGUACAUGGUAGGCUCUCAAUAUAUGUCAUCGAAUGAAUAAAUGAUCACUAAAAGUGUAUCAUCCUUCCAUUUUGCCAGGUGUUUUUAUGCACUUUCAUCACAUCAUAUAAGCAUCAGAUUUUGUUCGGAUAAAAGAGGCUCUAUUAUUUUUAACUGAGACUCUUUAAACCUCUCCAACAUCUUCCCCAAUUGCAGUGCUUUAAAAAUAGACAAAAAUAACUACCAAUAAUUUAUGGAAUAAAGGCAAAAUCGAGCAUAGGGCUCAUGUUUUCAGAACAAGGUAAUUAUAUAGCUCCUGAUAAUUACCUGUGGGCAUUGGUAAAUACAUUGCAGCUUGAUAAUUGUGCUCCACUUCAGAUUCAGAUUAGAAUGUUCCUUUCGUUUACUAUAGAAGCUGCUUUUUAAAGAGUCACACUAAAGCCUUCGGAAUCAUAGCAGGAUUUUCAAGUGUUUGCUGUUCCCAUCCAUUUCCUUUAUGUGGCAAUAAUAAUCAAAUUCAGUUAAAUAAUUUAAAACCAACAGAUUCUAUUAUUUCCCUGAAUUCCUGGAAAACAGUUGAGCCAAAGUAAUGUGAAAAGUUGAUUUGAAACCUGGAGCAGUUUUUGUCAAAAUGUCAGUUGGGACUCAUCAGUGGCACAUGAAAUCAAUUUAGUGAGCCACCCCAGCUAUUAAAAAAAAAAAAAAAAGGAAAUAGGGGAGUUUCCGUCAUGGAAACGAAUCCAACCAGGAAGCAUGAGGUUUCGGGUUCAAUGAUCCCUGUCCUUGUUCAUUGGGUUAAGGAUCCGGUGUUGCUGUGAGCUGUGGUAUAGGUCGCAGACGUGGCUCGGAUCUGGCAUUGCUGUGGCUGUGGCAUAGGCUUGCAGCUGUAGCUCCGAUCAGACCCCUAGCCUGGGAACCUCCAUAUGCCAUGGGUGUGGCCCUAAAAGACAAAAG